CUAGCGACUUCAGAGUUUGAUCCUGGCUCAGGAUGAACGCUGGCGGCGUGCUUAACACAUGCAAGUCGAACGAAGCAGUUGUUUGGAUCCCUUCGGGGUGACGAACUUACUGACUGAGUGGCGGACGGGUGAGUAACGCGUGGGUAACCUGCCUUACACAGGGGGAUAACAGUUAGAAACGACUGCUAAUACCGCAUAAUGUUAUUGGGCGGCAUCGCUUGAUAACCAAAGAUUUAUUGCUGAAAGAUGGCCUCGCGUCUGAUUAGCUAGUUGGUGGGGUAACGGCCCACCAAGGCGACGAUCAGUAGCCGGACUGAGAGGUUGACCGGCCACAUUGGGACUGAGAUACGGCCCAG
rnacentral:rRNA from 1 species